CCUACGGGGAGCAGCAGUGGGGGAUAUUGCACAAUGGGGGAAACCCUGAUGCAGCGACGCCGCGUGGGUGAAGAAGUAUUUCGGUAUGUAAAGCCCUAUCAGCAGGGAAGAAAGAAGACGGUACCUGACUAAGAAGCCCCGGCUAACUACGUGCCAGCAGCCGCGGUAAUACGUAGGGGGCGAGCGUUAUCCGGAUUCACUGGGUGUAAAGGGAGCGUAGACGGCCGUGCAAGCCAGGAGUGAAAGCCCGGGGCCCAACCCCGGGACUGCUCUUGGAACUGUGCGGCUGGAGUGCGGGAGGGGCAGGCGGAAUUCCUGGUGUAGCGGGGAAAUGCGUAGAUAUCAGGAGGAACACCGGCGGCGAAGGCGGCCUGCUGGACCGCGACUGACGUUGAGGCUCGAAAGCGUGGGGAGCGAACAGGAUUAGAUACCCUGGUAGUC
rnacentral:rRNA from 1 species